UGCCCCGUGGCUGAGUUGGUCACAGCGUCCGACUGUUACUUCAAAUGUGUUAGCUCAUCAAAUCAGUCGUGAUAUCGGAAGGUCGUGAGUUCGAGCCUCACCGGGGCAG